rnacentral:tRNA from 1 species
GGCUGGGUAGUAUAAUUGGUUAAUGCAAUGGGUUGCAGUUCCAUAAAUGCCGGUUCAAGUCCGUCUCUAGCCU